GCUCCCGUAGUCUAGUCCGGUCAAGGAUAGAGGGCCUUCGAGGCGUCGGUUCGACGCCGAGGAAACCCUCCAACGUGGGUUCGAAUCCCGCCGGGAGCA
rnacentral:tRNA from 1 species